ensembl:lncRNA LINC01449 long intergenic non-protein coding RNA 1449
AUCUUACGUGUCGGAAAAAAUCAGCAGAGUUUGUAGGUUCAUCCUCCGCCAAAAUAUGAGUGGCUUUUCACCGGCGAAGUUUUUCAACCGCCUGGAAGAAGCCAUUUGAGGUUUUUGCUGGGCUGAAUGUACAUUUUUUGGACACUAAAAAAGCACAAGGGUCAACAUGAUAGCCACAUAUGGAAGGGGCGUGGAGAAGAAAGGAUAGGGGAAAAAGAAGAAAGGUUGUUUUUACCAUCAGCCCCGUGUUGAAGUCAACAGGAAAUGGCCCAGUGUGGAUCAACCACCAUACUGUCCCGAGUAAAAGGGAAUGAUGAUCUCUUCUGAGUGACUUAAGAGUUAAUCAGGACCAGAGGAAAAAGGUUUAAUCGACUCACAGUUCAGCCUGGCUGGGGAGGCCCCAGGAAACUUACAAUUAUGGCAAAAGGUGAAGGAGGCCCGAGGAAACUUACAGUUGUGGCAAAAGGUGAAGCAAACAUCCUUCUUCACAUGGUGGCAGAAAGGAGAAGAAUGAGCAAAAUGGGGAAGAGCCCCUUAUAAAAUCAUCAGAUCUCGUGAGAACUCACUCACUAUCAUGAGAACAACAUGGAGGUAACUGCCCCUGUGAUUCAAUGACCUCCCACCGGGUCCCUUCCACAACAUGUAGGAAUUACGGGAACUACAAUUCAAGUAUUCUUCCUUGGAUGAAAGGACUAGGAGAAAGCCCUGCAACCCCACGAGUCCGCCCGUUUGUUGAAAUCAGUUCAAGAUCAUCCAGGUCUGCAAAACUCGGCUGAAGCAGCUUGUUGCAUAAUUUACCAGAGAAAAGAGGGCCAUCUGGAGAGCCAAUCUGGAGAACUCGAGCAAAGGCCUUCUGACCAAGAAUAUCCAGAGACAAGGUCGAAGAAUCUGAACUUUUAAAGGCCGCUUAGGAACAUCUGAUUAUCAGCAAGUCUUGGGAACCACUGAUAAUACAACGCGCACCCCCCCACUCAGUGCAGAAUGCUUCCCAACAAGGUCUCUAAAUGCUUCUUCCAAAGCAUGUUUGGGUUUGGAGAUUCAGCUCAAAUGCUCUGACACAGACUGUCCUAAACUGGUAUCAUCCCAGCCUGUGACAGAAAUUGAAAAACAAGUAAUACUUCGUGCUCUAAAA